UACGUAGGGCGCAAGCGUUGUCCGGAAUUAUUGGGCGUAAAGAGCUCGUAGGCGGCCUGUUGCGUCCGCUGUGAAAUCCCGGGGCUCAACCCCGGGCCUGCAGUGGAUACGGGCUGGCUAGAGGCAGGCAGGGGAGAACGGAAUUCCUGGUGUAGCGGUGAAAUGCGCAGAUAUCAGGAGGAACACCGGUGGCGAAGGCGGUUCUCUGGGCCAACACUGACGCUCAUGCACGAAAGCGUGGGGAGCAAACAGG
rnacentral:rRNA from 1 species